GUACAACCAUACCAAGUAUCCUAGCAACAGUCACUUCAGUCAGCGGCAAAAAUAAGGAUAACAUUUCUUUGCAUUGCAAGAUAGAAGCAGUGCAACCAUAACCCAAUUCCUUCAUGAUGUCUGCAAUGCUCAUUUCUUUCUCCAUAUCUGCCAAAAGAACAUCAAAAUCAUCUUCACCGUCGUCAUUUAAGAAAUCUAAGUUCCUCAAAAAAUUAGCUUCAUGAAAUUCAUCAGAUAGCAAUGGAGUUAAAAUGAACUGGGC
rnacentral:misc_RNA from 1 species